UACGUAGGCAGCGAGCGUUGUUCGGAGUUACUGGGCGUAAAGGGUGUGUAGGCGGCUUGGUAAGUCCGCUGUGAAAGUCCAGGGCUCAACCCUGGAAUGCCGGUGGAAACUGUCAAGCUUGAGUCCGGAAGAGGCGAGUGGAAUUCCUGGUGUAGCGGUGAAAUGCGCAGAUAUCAGGAGGAACACCAAUGGCGAAGGCAGCUCGCUGGGACGGUACUGACGCUGAGACGCGAAAGCGUGGGGAGCAAACAGG
rnacentral:rRNA from 1 species